GAUGAAGAACGUAGUGAAAUGCGAUACUUGGUGUGAAUUGCAGAAUCCCGUGAACCAUCGAGUCUUUGAACGCAAGUUGCGCCCGAAGCCAUUAGGCCGAGGGCACGCCUGCCUGGGCGUCACACGUCGUUGCCCCCCCAUCUACUCCUUCGGGAUUGCGGGGGGCGGAUGAUGGCCUCCCGUGCGCCUCGUCGCGCGGUUGGCAUAAAUGCCAAGUCCUCGGCGACGCACGCCACGACAAUCGGUGGUUGCGAAACCUCGGUUGCCCGUCGUGUGCGGUCGUCGAGCAUCGAGGGCUCGAAAAAAUUGCCGGGCUCCGGCUCGGCUUUCAACGCGACCCCAGGUCAGGCGGGGUUACCCGCUGAAUUUAAGCAUAUCAAUAAGCGGAGGA
rnacentral:misc_RNA from 1 species